rnacentral:lncRNA from 1 species
AACAACUCAAGGUAAAAAAAAAACCUUAAGGAAGUCUUAUACAAGAAAGAUAAAAAGAAGUAGAUAAGAGGAGAAAGGAGAACUUGCCGGGUAAGAGAGGAGACGGUCACGCAUCAUACGGUCGAGAGAGGCAAGGAUGACUGAUGAAGGUGAGGAGACAGCUGUGAACACACGAGCAUUACGCUCUUUCCACAGCAGGUAGAUGGCUGACUGAAAGUAGAGCUUCAUGACUAGAGUAGCAUGCGCAUCUGCAUUGACGCGAGGUUGAUUGAUCCAGCUUGCAACAGAGUGUAGAUCAGCCGGAGGAGAAAUCCAAACUUCAGGAGCAAAAAGCUCCCAUAUCAAGCGAGAGAAAGAGCACUCAAAGAAGAGAUGAUGGUGAGUCUCUAUUUCAAGAUUACAAAGGACGCACGUUCCAGAGACAUUUAACUCCC